AGCCUAAUUCAGUUAUUUUUCAUGUUUUGAUGUGCUUUCGUGUACUUUUCAGUAUUUCCAAGCUCACGAUAUUGUAAGAGCGACCAAACUUGUUUAUAUUCAUACUUUUUGUGACUAGAACGUAUUAUCAUGGGCUGGAAAAUAUUGAAACGUGCACGGAGGCACAUCAAAACAUGGCAGUUGCGCCAAAAAUAGCUUAAGGCUUUUCAAUGUGACACGUCACAUGAGCGGUGAAACAUUUCAGUUUCCAACGGUAAACGCCCCGUUUCAAACGUAAACAAACGCGCGAAAAUGUUUGCGGUUUGUGCUUGGACGAAAAUUGCUG